rnacentral:SRP_RNA from 1 species
GCCGGGCGCGGUGGCGCGCGCCUGUAGUCCCAGCUACUCGGGAGGCUGAGGCAGGAGGAUCGCUUGAGUCCAGGAGUUCUGGGCUGUAGUGCGCUAUGCCGAUCGGGUGUCCGCACUAAGUUCGGCAUCAAUAUGGUGACCUCCCGGGAGCGGGGGACCACCAGGUUGCCUAAGGAGGGGUGAACCGGCCCAGGUCGGAAACGGAGCAGGUCAAAACUCCCGUGCUGAUCAGUAGUGGGAUCGCGCCUGUGAAUAGCCACUGCACUCCAGCCUGGGCAACAUAGUAAGACCCUGCCUCCU